CUACAGUGUAAAGCCUGGGGUCUCUGCUGUCCUUGGGAUUCUCAUCUGUAAAGUUUCACAGUGAAAGAAAAUUCAAAAAGAAGUACUUCAGAUUCUGAACAGGAUGCUUUGGCUGGACUUCGCCUCAUAUAAUUCUGAGAGUAUGAAAUAACCAUUUCAAUCUGAGCAGUCAGACUUCACUGCUGCUGUGAAUGGAAAGAGACCACAUCUCAAUAUCAUGGCUAUCUUCACAGGAGAAGAGGGAGCAUGGUAUAAAGCAGGAUAAGAGUGUGAAAAGGGUAAUUUGAGAGUAUGAGGAAAGUGACCAACCUCAUGGGAACAAACUGUGAAAUAAAUGAAGACAAGGGGGAGACAGGAGAGGAUCCAGAAAGUUGAAUGGGAGUAGAAAGAAGAUAUUAAUUGUCAUAAUGUGCAUGAACUUGGGCUUGAAUGCAAAAUUUAUAGAGAAGACACAUAUGAAUCAUUUCUACUAAAUAAGCACUGGAGUGAGGGGAUAGUCUCAGCUAUAAUGUGUUGCAAAGUGUGGACCAUGGAAAUUUGCUGCACUAUAACUAUUCACCAGCUUUAGGGUGA